rnacentral:rRNA from 1 species
AACGAACGCUGGCGGCAUGCCUAAUACAUGCAAGUCGAACGAUCACUUCGGUGGUAGUGGCGCACGGGUGCGUAACGCGUGGGAAUCUGCCCUUGGGUUGGGAAUAACGUCGGGAAACUGACGCUAAUACCGGAUGAUGACGUAAGUCCAAAGAUUUAUCGCCCAGGGAUGAGCCCGCGUAGGAUUAGCUAGUUGGUGGGGUAAAGGCCUACCAAGGCGACGAUCCUUAGCUGGUCUGAGAGGAUGAUCAGCCACACUGGGACUGAGACACGGCCCAGACUCCUACGGGAGGCAGCAGUAGGGAAUAUUGGACAAUGGGGGCAACCCUGAUCCAGCAAUGCCGCGUGAGUGAUGAAGGCCUUAGGGUUGUAAAGCUCUUUUACCCGGGAUGAUAAUGACAGUACCGGGAGAAUAAGCCCCGGCUAACUCCGUGCCAGCCGCCGCCGUAA